rnacentral:rRNA from 1 species
GUGUUCAAGUUUUUAAGGGCAUACGGUGGAUGUCUUGGCAUCAGGAGCCGAUGAAGGACGUGGGAGCCUGCGAUAUGCCUCGGGGAGUCGGCAACCAGACGUUGAUCCGGGGAUUUCCGAAUGGGGAAACCUAGCACUCGUUAUGGGGUGUUGCCGCCAGCUGAAUGCAUAGGCUGGUUGGUGGGAACGCGGGGAAGUGAAACAUCUCAGUACCCGCAGGAAGAGUAAACAAGAGUGAUUCCGUCAGUAGUGGUGAGCGAACGCGGAAGAGCCUAAACCGAUCGUGUGUGAUAGCCGGCGGGCGUUGCACGGUCGGGGUUGUGGGACCAUCCCGCUGCCUCCGCUGGGGUAGCAAAGAGUUACAAAAUCUUGUGGUAGUCGAACGGCAUGGGAAGGCCGACCGUAGACGGUGAGAGUCCGGUAGGCGAAACUGCAAGAUCUUCUGGGUGUGUUCCCCGAGUAGCACGGAGCCCGUGAAAUUCCCGUGUGAAUCUGCCACGACCACGUGGUAAGGCUGAAUACUCCCUGAUGACCGAUAGCGGACAAGUACCCGUGAGGGAAAGAUGAAAAGUGCCCCGGUGAGGGGUCGUGAAAUAGUACCUGAAACCCGUGUGCCUACAAGCCGUCAGAAGCGUCCUUUCAGAUUUAUCUAAUUCGUGAUGGCGUGCCUUUUGAAGAAUAAGCCUGCGAGUUAUGGUGUGUGGCCAAGGUUAACCGGUGUCGGGUAGCCGUAGCGAAAGCGAGUCUAAAGAGGGCGACUUUAGUCGCAUGCUGUAGACCCGAAGCGGAGUGAUCUAGCCAUGGGCAGGUUGAAGCGCCGGUAAGACGGUGUGGAGGACCGAACCCACCAGGGUUGAAAACCUGGGGGAUGACCUGUGGUUAGGGGUGAAAGGCCAAUCAAACUCCGUGAUAGCUGGUUCUCCCCGAAAUGCAUUUAGGUGCAGCGUCACAUGUUUCUCGCCGGAGGUAGAGCUACUGGAUGGCUAAUGGGCCCUACAAGGUUACUGACGUCAGCCAAACUCCGAAUGCCGGUGAGUGAGAGUGUGGCAGUGAGACUGCGGGCGAUAAGGUUCGUAGUCGAGAGGGAAACAGCCCAGAUCAUCGACUAAGGCCCCUAAGCGUGUGCUAAGUGGGACAGGAUGUGGAGUUGCCGUGACAACCAGGAGGUUGGCUUAGAAGCAGCCAUCCUUGAAAGAGUGCGUAAUAGCUCACUGGU